AAUGAACGUUGGCGGCGUGGAUUAGGCAUGCAAGUCGAGCGAGAAGGAACCACUCAUCCGCUUCACAUUUUAGCCCCCGGUCAGUGACCGGGGGUAAGGUGUGGACCAGAUGAGUGGUUCCGGACAGCGGCGAAAGGGAGAGUAACGCGUAGUUACCUGCCCCAGGGUCCGGAAUAGCCACGGGAAACUGUGGGUAAUGCCGGAUAACAUCCGUUCUGUAACGGAGUGGAUCAAAGGUGUGAUU
rnacentral:rRNA from 1 species